AUUGAACGCUGGCGGAAUGCUUUACACAUGCAAGUCGAGCGGCAGCACGGGGGUAACCCUGGUGGCGAGCGGCGAACGGGUGAGUAAUACAUCGGAACAUGCCCAGUCGUGGGGGAUAACACUUCGAAAGAAGUGCUAAUACCGAAUCCGUCCUUAGGUAGAAAGCGGGGGAUCGCAAGACCACGCCGGAUUGGCUGGCCCGAUGUCAUAUUAGCUAGUUGGUGGGGUAAAGGCCUACCAAGGCAACGAUCUGUAGCUGGUCUGAGAGGAUGAUCAGCCACACUGGGACUGAGACACGGCCCAGACUCCUACGGGAGGCAGCAGUGGGGAAUUUUGGACAAUGGGGGCAAGCCUGAUGCAGCCACGCCGCGUGAGUGAAGAAGGUCUUCGGGUUGUAAAGCUCUUUCGGCAGGAAAGAAACGGUGAGCUCUAACAUAGCUUGCUAAUGACGGUACCUGAAGAAGAAGCACCGGCUAACUACGUG
rnacentral:rRNA from 1 species